CCCAAAGUUCUAGACUCCCCAAGCUCGAACCUCUUGGAGAUUCAAGGCGUUCUGAUUUCUAUGGCAGGCCCCUCCCACCUGUAGCAAUUAGACAGAGACCAAAUGGUGAAACCCAUGAUGUCAUUUCCUCGCACCUUCUCCUCUUUCCCCUCGUAUACGGUUAGAGAUGCCUCGUCUCCACCAAUCACGGCCUUUUGUUUUAUUUCUCUCAUCUCCAAGCCCACGCCGUGUAAAUACGCAACAAUCACCAGCCACUGUCGGCGAGAGGAACCAAUCAGCUUGCUCAGAGGGAUCAUGUGACCAGCCAAGGAUUGGGAAUUCCACAGAGACUCAUGGUUUAUUUGAAACUUUCAGCAGUGACCGAAUUCGGAUCUACAAAAGUAGACAUUUUAUUUUUUCCACCAAAAGAAGAAGCGUUAAUCUCAACGAUAAGAUUAUAACGUUCAUCGAAUUGUCUGUGUAUAAAUCUUUAUUUUUAGACUGAAUCACAUAUAACUGUGAAAUCUGUGUUUUUCUGAGACAGGAGAUAUUAGUAUAUAUUAAAUAACACUACAACUGUGCUGAACAGAACUUGCUCCCGCUCGUGCACACGCUCGUUAUCAAGCUGUUGGGAUUAAAAAACACCGUGAAGGUUUGUGCAUCAGCAUGUGAUGAUGAAAGGUACUGGUAUUUGAUGUCGUUUCCAACCUGCUGGGGUUCCAGAUGUUCUGAAAGUGAACACUUUUUUUUAUUUUUUAUCAGGAUUUUGCUGGUGUACAUGCCCACCACAACUUCCAGAAUCUCACCAGCAGCUAACAACAAAACAUUGUUAAAGGAAAAAUUCACCUUGAACGUCUUUACUAUCAACAUGUGAUCAACAGCAUCCAAGAUUUAUUUUCUGAGGAAAUUCUGAGUUUUAAGUUUAAACAUCUCGUAUCAACAUGUCGGUCUAUUUUUCCUACGUUACCCACAGUGUGACUUCCCGCUGAUCAUUGCAACAGCCCUGGCUUCAUCUCUACCUAAAGAGAGUGAUGCAGCUGCGCUUUAGUCCUUUAGACUGUCCAGUUCACUCACCUCCUCAUCUGUACACUCUCUUUAAACAGACCGGCUUCCAAAGCUCUUAGGCCGAUACCACCGUCAACGCCAUCACGCUCGUCAUCUCGGAGAUCUCUAGCCGAGCCGAGUCUCUGACGUAGCUUCGUAUCGUAUAGCUGCAUUGCAUUCUGGGGCUUUUUUUUUUUAGGCCAGGCUCUUGCACCGACGUCUCCACUACUUCUGCGCUGAAUUUCUCGUUAAUAAAUAUUACGCACUACAGAGACGGUGAGUGAGGAAAAGAAGCUGAAGGUUAUCCGUUUUGUUUGAAAUUAGUUCUUCAAGCAUAACUUCUCACAGAAAGAAUGAAAAUACAGAACCAACCAACGAAUAAGCACCCUCGCAGAUAUUUAACGUGUUUCAGGGUGGAGUUUUCCUUUAAAGUGAAUAUUUUCCCGAUGGGAGAAACACAGCAGAAUUCUUUAACCAGUGCGUCGAGAAGCAUUUCACUUUCACUGGUUUAUGGGCACUUCAUGUAUUUCUGUUGCUAAGCCGAAGCAUGUACGGACUACGGCGUAGUGCUUUGUUUGAAAAGGGCAGUGUUCGUUUUUUUAUUUUUAGUUUUAGGUUUUUUAAAAAAAAAUUGUAACAGUUGAGACUGUUACAGAUUAAAUCUAUUGUUGACAUCAUGUUUUGCAGAAACACAUUACCCAGACCAUGAAAUGCUAAAUUAAGCUGGAACAUUUCACACACACUACAUUCGAAUUUCACUUUUAGAGGUAUAUUCAUUUUAUCAUACAGUGUCCUCAACUAAUAUUGGCACCCUUGUUAAAUAUGGGAUCCAGCGUGGACCUCGGAAUGUGAAGGAUCUGGAGAGAUUCUGUACGGAGGAACGCUCUCGGAUCCCUCGCCAUGUAUAUUCUCCGACCUCAUCAGGCGUUAUAGGAGAAGACUCAGAGCUGUUAUCUUAGCACAAAGUAUUGACUAAAACGGUGUCAAUAAUUGUUGCACACCUAUAUUUAACAAAGAGAAUUUUUUUUUUGGAUAAACCUGUGUUUGUGCAGUUGUUUGAUAUCCAUGAGAGCAGAGUAAUUUUUUUCGAAAGGUUAAACAAUAGACAGUUUUUCACAGAUUUCUUUGCUCAUAUUUACCAAGGGUGCCAAUAUUAGUGGAAGGCACUGUGGGUAUGUACUGUAAAUGGCAUAGGUAGGUUAUUUAUUUAGGGGUGUUUUUUCUUUGUUUGUUUUUUUUUAACCCUGUGUUUCCCAUCAUGUAUUUAACAUUUUAUAUUUGACACCCCUGAUUGAAUGUGUUUUUAUGUAUUUCAUUUCAAAUACGUAACACCUUUUCUUUUCUCUAAUAUCACAUUCUCAUACCUUUUCUUUUUUUUUUUUUUUUUUUGUUACAUGCACUUUUUAUCCAUGUGGUUUUAAUAUGAAUGCAAUUAAAUGCAUAAAUAUUUUUAUUCAUUUGGAGUCUGUUUUGAUAUCGGUGCUCUUCAGAUCUGCUCUUUUCUAUCCGUCUCUUUAAAAGGCGACUCGAGGUCUAACACGUGUUUUCUGCAGGUGUCUGAAUGAUUUCAGUGUUAUUGUUGCAAAUGCGGUUCGUUCCAAAUGAAGCAGUGGGCUUAGAAGUUAAACAGCUGCAUUGAUACAGGGUAGUGGGUCCCAAAAAGUGUACAUAACAACCUCUGAAUUAGAUUUUAUAUAAGAUAAGUUUUUUUUAAAUACUUACUGAUGUGUAUAAACAUUGGCGGUAAAUGUUGAGGACAUUUUCUCUAUGAAUUCCUUUUGAUGUGUAUCCCUAAUAUUGGUACUUUCACCCAAACCCUUCCCAUGAUGCAUUACAGGACCCAGGUACGCUUCACACACACAAUCUAUAUAUAAAAGUUUUAAACACAACUGAAAUCAUUCAUUUAGGUUACUUUAUUUGUUCCAAGCACAGUUCAUACUGUAGGUAGUAAGUAGGUAUGGACCAAUCUGAAACUAAGCAUUGCUAUCAGUAACGAAGGAUCAGUAUUGGAUUAGAUUAGACAUUCUGUUGCCAGUACACCUUUGAUGUAUUAUGUCUUACGUAACUUGCUAGCGUUUCAGUAUCGAUCACUAUUGGAUAUCAACCAAACGCCCAACCAAUGGGAUCGGUGCACGUCUAUAAAGAAAAGC
ensembl:lncRNA